CGCCUUCGCGAUUGAGUGAAACUGAGCUGCUUGCUUCUCCGGGGUUGCGAUAGAGUGAUUUGCCCUGGCAGGGCUCCAAGGCUGCGAUAGAGUACUUUUGCUGAAGGCGUCAUUGGGCAUUCUGACUUCAUGUUCUGUUUUUCCUCUGUUUGAACUCCAAAAGCAUCCAAAGUACCUGAAAACAACCAAAUAUGCCAUGCACAUGCAAUCCUAAUGCAAAAUCGUCCUAAGUAUGUAAAACACACUAAAACGACUCCUAAUGAGAUGAAAUGUGGAUGAAACAAUGACAAAGUGGUGAAGAAUGAAUGCCUAAAUCAUGCAAAUUAUAGACAUAUCAACUCCCCCAAACUUAGUCUUUGCUUGCCCUCAAGCAAACAAAAAGACAUAAGCGGAAGGAGAGGUUUGAAGUUGGGGAUUCAGAACCAAAGCAUGAGAUAUGACAAUUAAGAUCAAUGUACCAGCCAACAGUUCUAAGAUGCGAGGUGAUCGAAUUCUACUUAAAAACUUUAGCCAUGCUCUGUUAUGAUCCAAACCUACACUCAAAUGCACAAUGCUUCAAGAUCAACCAAUCCCUUUAACAUUCAUUAAGUUCAAAAAUAUGAAUCAAGAUAUGCAUCGCUAGUGAACUCAUUUGGCUAAUGACAGGUUAUGAGACAAAGAUGGUCCCUUUUUAGUGGUUCAGAUUUUAAUAGCAGGGGACUCUCAAUGAAAAAUGACUGAGCUUUAGAAGAAUGCUAAAUGUAAGUGCCAACCUAUGCAUACAAGAAUAGCACCCCAUCUACCCAAUUACAUAAACCGUGAAUAACAAGUAGAUGGUCCUAUCUCUAAACCCAAUGAUGAUCCUAAGUCUACCCUUUUGCACUAAAGGCAUAUUUCGAUUUUUCCUUGGAUCAAUGUUUCCUUUUCUUUUCUUUGGCUCUUGUUCUUAAGGAGAAGUUUUUCUUAAACUCUAUGAGUCUAGUCUAGUGAAUUGGUUUUUUCUUAAACUCUUAUGGCUCUAAUCAUUUUUUUUUUUU
rnacentral:sRNA from 1 species